ensembl:lncRNA
UUUUAAUUGUCUGUAUUGUCUACUUGUUAAAUGUUUGUAAAGUCUUCAUUUGUAAUUGUUUGUAAUGUCUUAUCAAUUGGUGUUGGACCACAGGAAGAUUAGCUAACGUUAUAGCGUUAGCUAAUGGGGACUCUAGUAAAGAUUCACAAGACUGUUCACAGAUUCACAUUGAUCACAGAAUCUGAUUGAUAAUCUUAAUUCGAAGUUUGAGUUUUUUACUGGACAACCAACACUUGACAGAUGGGCUAAUCCAUAGAAAGAAAAUGUGAUCUUGGAUCUUGAACUCCCCUAGCUACAUUUCAACUUAAUGUUCAAUAUUACUAGUGGCACUCUGUCCUUACGAACAGUAAAUCAUUGGGUCUGACUCUUUUGAUUUAAUGCAAUUUCAUCAUCGAUAGUGAAACAACCACCACAUAAUCGUCAACUCCCCCUACAAAACAUGAAUUUAUUUGUGGUUUAUCCUCUAGCUAUUUGGUAAUAGGUGUGAUCCUGACUUGGAAUGGCCACGAAGUUACACGUUGUUUUAGGUCCAGUUAGUUUGGAAGUUGUGGUAAAUGGGGGAGUGUGAGCGCGUGUCAUGAGAUGCUGCAGGUGUUGAUAUGGGGAUGGAUAGGCUACCACUGCCUUUAAUUACUACGCUCUGCCUGCACCUACCUCAACUGGUACUCUGCUGCCUCGCUGUGUUUGAGAGAUCAUCCCGGGCUUUGCCCCGUCUGCUGUAGCUGAGAUGUCCCUGGAGGACAUAGAACAACAAGACUAUGAUGUUUCUGACACUGAGAGAGUCAGAGCCUUGUCCCAGUCUCUAGACCUGCCUGUCUGUGUGGUGGAUGACCACCUGACCUCUGAAGCUGUCAAUGAGAUGGAGCAGAGCAAUUCUACCAGGAGCAGAGCAACCUCAGUGAUGGAAACCACAGAAGAGGGGAAGCUCAACAAUGUGGAACAUCUGACACUGAUGGACUUCCUUCAAAACCUAACUGAGAAGCAAUGGAGGGGGAUUCGUGAGGGCAUGUUUGACCCGCUGACAAAACAACAGCUUGCCGGCUUGUGUCUGAGGAUUGUCCAGUUUUUAUCGGACAAGCUGAUGCAGAUCAUCAUCCCAGGUCUUUACGAACUACUGGGCAUCCAAGAUGCUGCCUCCUCUCCAUUGUCACAGAGAUCUCUCACAGCGUCACUCACCAGUCCGUUAGACGAUAAGACUAACACCAAGUCCCGCGUGAGAUUUACUGAGGCUGGUGUACCUAAGAGGCCAGGCAGUCGAAAGUCUUACAAUAGCUUUCGCAUCCCGACUCCCUACCCUUCCUCCAACUGUAUGGAGCAGGAAGAGGAAGAAGAGCAGGAAUCACAACUUAAGUUCAAGGAGAUUUACCUGACUAAGGGCAGUGGAAGCUACCUGCCCAAGGGGGCCAUGAGGUAUGUUCUUAAAGGGAAAUUUAACAACUUCAUAUUCAUCUCCAGCAUCACCAUAUGUGAAAAUUACACAUUUCCAUGCUUUGUAGUAAAAAAUAUAGAGGGACGUAACUGUUUCCAAUAGUGCUGAGAAAUUAGUGCUUUUUGAGGUUGGUUUGGUUUCGAUUCAAAUAUUUAAAAAAUAAUCACGGUUUUGGAUUUCAAUACUUUUUUUAGACAUUGAAUGCACUAUGGAUUAUGUGUGUUGAAUGCUGUAACAACACAUAAUAAAACAAUGAAUAAAAGUCCCAUGAUGGUAGUGACUGUCCAUUACUGUUUAUGACUUAUCAACCAUCAUUUACUUUCUAAUUUAAAAUAUUUAUUUGAUGACUUUAUUAUUUCAUUCCAAGUCAUCAACUCAUCUCUAUAGAGCUGCUGCUUAUCCUGUCUG